GACGUAGGGUGCGAGCGUUGUCCGGAUUUAUUGGGCGUAAAGAGCUCGUAGGCGGCUCGUCGCGUCGACCGUGAAAACCCGCGGCUUAACUGCGGGCUUGCGGUUGAUACGGGCGGGCUAGAGUUCGGUAGGGGAGACUGGAAUUCCUGGUGUAGCGGUGAAAUGCGCAGAUAUCAGGAGGAACACCGGUGGCGAAGGCGGGUCUCUGGGCCAAUACUGACGCUGAGGAGCGAAAGCGUGGGGAGCGAACAGG
rnacentral:rRNA from 1 species